AUUAACGCUGGCAGAGUGCAUAACACAUGCAAGUCGAGCGAGACUAGUAGCAAUAUUAGUCUAGCGGCAGACGAGUGAGUAACACGUAAACAAUCUACCCUUGAAUGGUGAAUAACCAGCCGAAAGGCUGGCUAAUACACCGUACUCUCCCCGGAAGGCAUCUUCUGGGGAGGAGAGAUCCGCAAGGAUCGUUCUUGGAGGAGUUUGCGGCCCAUCAGCUAGUUGGCGGUGUAAUAGACCACCAAGGCUACGACGGGUACCCGGCCUGAAAGGGCGGACGGGCACGAUGGCACUGAGACACGGGCCAUACUCCUAUGGGAGGCGGCAGUGGGGAAUUUUGGACAAUGGGCGAAAGCCUGAUCCAGCAACUCUGCGUGAGGGACGAAGGUCUUCGGAUCGUAAACCUCUUUUACAUGGGAAGAAUGUCAGCAAUGACUCGACGGUACCAUGUGAAUAAGCCACGGCUAACUAUGU
rnacentral:rRNA from 1 species